CUUCACCGAGCCGAUCCAGAGCGGCGUCUCUGCCGCGCGCCCUUCACGGUAGGCAGCGCCGAGCGCCUGCACCUC
rnacentral:antisense_RNA from 1 species